rnacentral:rRNA from 1 species
GAAGAGUUUGAUCCUGGCUCAGAUCGAACGCUGGCGGCAUGGCUAAAGCAUGCAAGUUGAACGCGAACGUUCCUUCGGGAACUAUUAGAGUGGCUAUCAGGUUGUUGGUGGGGUAACGGCCUACCAAGCCUCAGACGGCUAGCGGGUGUGAGAGCAUGACCCGCCGCAUCGGGACUGAGACACUGCCCGGACUCCUACGGGAGGCUGCAGCAACGGAUAUUGGACAAUGAGCGAAAGCUUGAUCCAGCAAUGCCGCGUGCAGGAUGAAGCCCUUCGGGGUGUAAACUGCUGUCAGGGUCUAGCAACACAAUGAGCAGACCCAAAGGAAGGACCGGCUAAGUUCGUGCCAGCAGCCGCGGUAAGACGAACGGUCCAAGCGUUGUUCUGUGUCAUUGGGCUUAAAGCGUGCGUAGGCGGAGGCGUCAGUGUCUUGUGAAAUCCCACGGCUCAACCGUGGAACUGCAGGGCAUACUGCGCCUCUUGAGGCCAGCAGGGGCGGCCGGAACUGUAGGUGUAGCGGUGAAAUGCGUAGAUAUCUACAGGAACGCCGAAGGUGAAGACAGGCCGCUGGGCUGGUUCUGACGCUCAGGCACGAAAGCGUGGGGAUCAAACAGGAUUAGAUACCCUGGUAGUCCACGCCGUAAACGAUGUGCACUAGGUCUGGGAGGUCUGACGCCUUCCGGGCCGAAGUAAAAACAUUAAGUGCACCGCCUGGGGAGUACGGUCGCAAGGCUAAAACUCAAAGGAAUUGACGGGGACUCACACAAGCGGUGGAGCAUGUGGCUUAAUUCGAGUCAACGCGAAGAACCUUAUCCUGGGCUUGACAUGCACGGAUUAACCUCGUGAAAGCGAGGCCACACCCUUGGGUGGAACGUGCACAGGUGCUGUAUGGCUGUCGUCAGCUCGUGCUGUGAAGUGUCGGGUUAAGUCCCUUAACGAGCGAAACCCCUGUCGUUAGUUGCCAGCGAGUCAUGUCGGGGACUCUAACGAGACUGCCGGUGUCAAACCGGAGGAAGGUGGGGAUGACGUCAAGUCCUCAUGGCCUUUAUGCCCAGGGCUGCACACGUGCUACAAUGGCCUGUACAAAGCGACGCGAUGCCGCGAGGCGGAGCAAAUCGCAAAAAACAGGCCCCAGUUCAGAUUGGAGUCUGCAACUCGACUCCAUGAAGGUGGAAUCGCUAGUAAUCGCGCAUCAGCACUGGCGCGGUGAAUACGUUCCUGAGUCUUGUACACACCGCCCGUCAAGUCAUGGAAGCUGGGAGUACCCGAAGUCGGCUCGACUCAGAGCUGCCCACGGUAAACUCGGUGACUGGGACUAAGUCGGAACAAGGUA